UACGUAGGGUGCGAGCGUUGUCCGGAAUUAUUGGGCGUAAAGAGCUCGUAGGCGGUGUGUCGCGUCGGCCGUGAAAACCUGCAGCUUAACUGUGGGCUUGCGGUCGAUACGGGCAUCACUGGAGUUCGGCAGGGGAGACUGGAAUUCCUGGUGUAGCGGUGAAAUGCGCAGAUAUCAGGAGGAACACCGGUGGCGAAGGCGGGUCUCCGGGCCGAUACUGACGCUGAGGAGCGAAAGCGUGGGGAGCGAACAGG
rnacentral:rRNA from 1 species